UAAUGUGGGGCAUUUUAAAAUAUUCUCAUUAUCAGAAAGUAAGUGCUUAGUAUUUUCUGGAAAAGAGUUCUGGUUGUGCACCCGACAGGACUAGUCAUUUUUUGAAAGGUUGGCCUCCACGUCUUGCGCUGGGGUGAACGACAGCUCCUGGCACUCGGCUGGGGGACAUCGCGCCGGGAGGCUGCUUCAGGAAGCUGAACAUAAAAGCAAAGGCUGAACAGAUCCCCCUCUCAAUCCACCUAAGUACAGCAACUGGCAUGUAAUGAGUUCUGCAGAGAUGGAUCAUCAUCAGCGCACACAGACAUUUCUGGUUUUCUGUUUGAUUAGCUCCCUGGAUUCCCCAAACUUUUGGGAGCAGAGGAAGGGAGAAGUAGAGAGUAUCUUUCAUAUAUAUCUGUAUCUAAAGGCAACUUUCAGCUCAGUAAUGCUUCUCAGGACUUUUCUGUAUUCAUUGGCUGGAAGAAUGGUUUGGAUUGACAUGGAGUUUCCAUCUAUAUUCCAAGGAAGAAGCGCUUUGGACACUGGUUGUGCUAAAACACGUAUCUGCUUCUUGGAACUGAAGAUGCCUCCUGGAACCACACCUGGAACAUUUGGAAAUUUGGAUUUGCCUGGGGGUAGUCACAGCUGAAAUCUCAGCUUCACUGAUGUGUGAGGUAUUUAAUAUCUUCCCUCAUUGCACUGGAUCUUUGAUCUUGGAGAUGGUCUUCCACUGAUAAAGAUGAGCUGAAGCGUGGCAGAACCGAGCUGACCAACUGCAGACUGGAAGGGCCUCAAGCCAUCAGCGCACUUGAUUUCCCUCCGAGACAGUGUGCGAACACUCCUUGCAGCUGCUGUGGGGGUGCUUGCCUGCCUGGUAGCACUUCCUUCAUCUUUCUUUGCAAGCUGUGGCAUUCCAGGAACUUCUGCACUUUUCCUUUGGUGAGGUUUUCUUUUUUGUCCUUCUCAAGGAAGCAAUGGCUUGCAGAGAAGGUGCUAGCAAACCUGGCUCGUGCUUCCAGUGCAUUUUUAAAAAAUGAGAACAUCCUUUCAGUAAUCCAUGUUUGCAUUAGAUGGAAAUGUUUUGGCUUCUCUCCUGUCCUUGAAAGCCCAGUGGUGCAAGAGGAAUUUGGGAAAUGCAGGCUCUCAAAAGUAAUGUAAAGAACAGAUCCACCGAUUCAAAUGCAAAUUGCUAAAGAAGAGAACAAGGGAAUUAUUUCCCCCCCCCCCCCCCAAAAAAAAAGACAAAAUAAUUCAUUCUGUUUAACUUAGGGCCACAUCCCACAUUUUUUAGGUGGUUUGUCUGUCAAAAGUUGUGGGAUGUGCUGUCUCCAAAUUCUGUUCUGCUGUUGGGACACCCACUUAAAGAGACACUGAAGCUUUUUCCUGUCAGAAGGUUACUGUCACAUAUGGGGCUGUCACUCCAGAUUUUGUGGGAGGAACAAACCUUUUGCCUUUAUGCUUGCAAAAGUUGACAGUAAUAGCUGAAAAUAAGCCAAAAACCCAUGCAUGUAAAUCAAAUGCACACUGUGAGCGGUAUGUGUUUCUGCUCUCUUUGGGGCUGCACUGAAACAGCCCAGUCCUGUGUCAGCUUGCACCGCCAGCAGCUAACAGGCAAUCUCCAUUUACUUUAGGGAGGAUUCCAGUAUAUUCUGUGAAAUACCCAGCAACUGCAGCAUGCCCAGCUUGUUGACAGCUGGAGAGAACCGAAUGGCCACAGAUCUGUUAUGAAUGAGAGCCAUACAGCCGAUUUUGGAAGGAGCACCCCACGCUGUUAGUGCUUGUCUUGUGCAUAUAAACAGCAGGCAAAAUGAAAACCAUCUUUUCUACCUAACAUUGCCAAGUCUAAAAGAAGGUGGAGAUUCCUGCUUGUAGUACUCAGGGAAUACAGAUCACUAAGCCUGGAAGAGAGAAACAAGUAUUUGUGAUGAAAGACCCAUUUUUUCAUGUUCCCUUUGAGGACUGUAAAGCAUUCAGAAACUCUAGUGCUGAGCAUGGCAAGAAUGCCAGCAUCAAGAAGAGCGAAACUCUCAUUUACUGCUGCUGUGAGCUAUAUAAGGUGUGUAAAGGGCUGUUAAUCUUGGAUACAAGCACAGUUACACCCAUCUUCUCACUAGAGCCCACCUUUGCCUUUGCCGGAGCUACGCCAAGGUGUGCCUGAUCAGGCCUCCAGUGCUGGAGCUCCAGGCGUCUGUCACCUCCGCUUUUACGAGUGUUGAGACUGACAAAACCCUUCAGUCUGGACAUCCUCAGAGUGUGAGGAAGUUCAGCAAGGCAGCUCAGGUUUAUGAUGCUAAUGGCUAAGAUCAAUUGAUAUUCACUUGUAAGGCACUGUACAUGCAGCUUCCACGGCUACUUCAUGUGUCUUCUAAAUGUAACUUUUCUGCCUCAUUUUUAUCAUAGAGAAUGGGGUUGAUUUAAUUAUUGUUUUUUUCUUUGGUCUCUGGCUCCUGUGUUUUUCUUACACCUUCCUCCAGUUCCUACUCUUUGUUUUUCCUCAGAUAACAGAGAGCUCUUUCCCCAGCACACCUCAGACCUCAUGAUCCCAGCAUGCACACCCAGGUGGUUAGAAGCAUAAAGUCUAUGCAGCCGCGGAGUAUUUACCUGUUUGUGUUGGAUGAUGUGUGUGCAAUUUCCAUGUCUUUAAAAGGCUACUUCCCUCCAGGGCAGCAAAAAAAAAAAAUAAAAUAAAAUAAAAUAAAUAAAUAAAAAAAAUCAAACUCUUUUAAAAUAAAGAUUUUAGGAAGGAAAAUA